CAAUAGCGUAUAUUAAAGUUGUUGCAGUUAAAAAGCUCGUAGUUGGAUUUCUGGUCGGAGCGACCGGUCGGCGUCCUUUGUGGCGUGUGCACUGUUGUCGGCUCCGUCCAUCCUAGUGGGAAGGCGCGUGGGCAUUCAUUUGUUCGCGCGUGGCCCCGCUACGUUUACUGUGAAAAAAUUAGAGUGUUUAAAGCAGGCCUUCGCCUUGAAUACAUUAGCAUGGAAUAAUAAGAUAGGACUUUGGUCUAUUUUGUUGGUUUGCAGACCGAAGUAAUGAUAAUAGGGAUAGUUGGGGGUAUUUAUAUUCCGAUGUCAGAGGUGAAAUUCUUAGAUUUUCGGAAGAUAAACUUAUGCGAAAGCAUUUACCAAGGAUGUUUUCAUUAAUCAAGAACGAAAGUUAGGGGAUCGAAGAUGAUCAGAU
rnacentral:rRNA from 1 species